GGAGGGGUGGCAGAGCGGCCGAUUGCACCGGUCUUGAAAACCGGAGACGCCGCAAGGCGUUCGCGAGUUCGAAUCUCGCCCCCUCCG
rfam:Planctomycetaceae bacterium SCGC AG-212-D15 AG-212-D15.7, whole genome shotgun sequence.